UCCUGGUUAGCUCAGUUGGUAGAGCGAUCGCCCCGGCAAGGCGUUGGUCCCGGGUUCGUAUCCCGGACCAGGAC
rnacentral:tRNA from 1 species